rnacentral:rRNA from 1 species
AUGGCAGCUAUGCUUUCUUGCCAUGGUGCUCAGUCCAGUGACGUGUAUGCACCUGGUAGCCGUGCCGCCAGAGCUAAUAAACGGUGUUAUGUCCAGAACGAAGAGGACAUAGAGGAGGAGGUCAAUGAAGAGGAGCCAGCACAUCAAGAGGAGCCAACACAUCAUGAUGAGCAUGAGUAUGAUGCAACACAUCAAGAGGAUCAUGAGUAUGAUGUUGAUGCUCCACAACCAUCACAGGUUACACAACCGAAACAAGGCAAUGCCCGCUCUAAACAAGGCAAAGCAAUAGCUAAGACACCGGGCAAGAAAGGUAGAAAGAAGACAUGGAACACUCAAUUCCAUAGUCCGGAGUAUCCUCAUCAAUUUAUGCCUACGGGAAUGCAAUAA